GCAUCGGAGGGUCUCCGUCGGACACAAUUUCAAUUUGUGAGGUCUUCAUUUUGCAGGUGCUCUUCACCGACGAUGAGUGCAAUAGAGAAUUGACCGUAAUAAUUAUGCUCUACAUAAAUAUAGUAGUAUUAUUCUGAGAACAUAACCUUCCUAGUCAAGGUUAUGGGAUCCGGAAUGUAUACUAAGAUGCUAUCCACAUCGAAAAGAAGCUACCAAACCAACAUC
rnacentral:lncRNA from 1 species